rnacentral:rRNA from 1 species
GAUGAACGCUGGCGGCGUGCCUAACACAUGCAAGUCGAGCGAAUGGAGGAGGCUUUCGCCUCGCUGACGCGACGGGCGGAUGGGUAAGUCCCACGAAUCUGACUUAUCUAUAGGGCUAACGUACGGAAGCGAGAGCUAAUACAGCAUACGUCAUGAUGGUGAACGGCGGGGUUCAUCGGACCUCACGCUAUCAGCUGAGCCUAGGUCGGAUUAGCUAGUUGGUUGGGUAAAGGCCUACCAAGGCGACGAUCCGUAACCGGUCUGAGAGGGUGAUCAGUCACACUGGAACUGAGACACGGUCCAGACUCCUACGGGAGGCAGCAGUAGGGAAUAUUGGACAAUGGGCGAAAGCCUGACGGAGCCACGCCGCGUGUGUGAAGAAGGUCUUCGGAUCGUAAAGCACUUUAAGUUGGGAGGAAGGGAAGUAAGUGAAUAUCUGGACGUCUUGACGGUACCAAAAGAGUAAGCCACGGCUAACUACGUG